GGGGAAUAUUGCACAAUGGGCGGAAGCCUGAUGCAGCGACGCCGCGUGAGGGAUGACGGCCUUCGGGUUGUAAACCUCUUUCAGUACGGAAGAAGCCUCUUCGGGGGUGACGGUACGUGCAGAAGAAGCGCCGGCUAACUACGUGCCAGCAGCCGCGGUAAUACGUAGGGCGCAAGCGUUGUCCGGAAUUAUUGGGCGUAAAGAGCUCGUAGGCGGCUUGUCGCGUCUGCCGUGAAAGGCCAGCGCUUAACGCUGGGAGUGCGGUGGGUACGGGCAGGCUAGAGUUCGGUAGGGGAGACUGGAAUUCCUGGUGUAGCGGUGGAAUGCGCAGAUAUCAGGAGGAACACCGAUGGCGAAGGCAGGUCUCUGGGCCGUUACUGACGCUGAGGAGCGAAAGCAUGGGUAGCGAAC
rnacentral:rRNA from 1 species